rnacentral:lncRNA from 1 species
GUUAUCCAGAGUUAUCGUAUUUAUAUUUUUACCACUGGGAGAAAGGGUGCAUCUGACUAUCAAAAUCUAUUGCUACUAUCCCUUUAGGCUACAAAGAAUGUUUCUCGAUGUGAGUGAUGUAUAGAGAAGACUGCAACCGUAGUCUCGUUCUAACCUUGGUAAGGAUGAUCUACUGUUCUAUUGGGGAAGCUUACGGAAUCUAGACACCACAAAGGAUGUUCAACCCGCACCUAUAAACCGUACCCGUCCUGCUAACAAGAUAUGGGAUACAAAGGUAACUCGGAAAUGUCACGUUCCUCGCUACUACCACGGUCCAGCUAGUCAGGGGAUAUCUAUGAGUACCCUAGCCUAAACACCACAUUUACGCU